UCAGGGCGUGGCUGAGUUAGUCAAGCACCUCACUUACACCGAGAAGACAUCCA
rnacentral:tRNA from 1 species